GGAUGUGAGGGCAAUCUGGCUGCGACAUCUGUCAUCCCAUUGAUCGCCAGGGUUGAUUUGGCUGAUCUGGCUGGCUAGGCGGGUGUCCCCUUCCUCCCUCAACAAUCCAUGUGCGUCUGUCCCGAAGCUGCAUGCUCAAUGGAAAGAGGACGACCACCCCCGAUGGAGAAGGACCGUUCCUCAGUCAAGGGUAUACGAGUCGCUGUGCUCCCCUGCUAGAGCCUCCACACAAGCUCUCAAAAUGGCUUGGCAGAAGAGAUACUAGUAAGGAUGUGCAGGGAAGGAACACUGCUACACUGCUGGUAGGAAUGUAAGUUAGU
rnacentral:snRNA from 1 species